UGAAUACGAGAUGCUACGGCGUCGAAGCAGUGUAUGUCAGACUUCCAAGAAAAGCUCGCAAUGUCAUAAAUAAAGAAUGCCUGUACCAUAACCGACACAGGUGGGUAGGUAGAGUAUACUAAGGGGCGCGAGAUAACUCUCUCUAAGGAACUCGGCAAAAUAACUCCGUAACUUCGGGAGAAGGAGUGCCUUCUUUAAGAAGGUUGCAAUAACAAGAUCCAAGCAACUGUUUAUCAAAAACACAGGUCUCCGCUAAGUCGUAAGACGAUGUAUGGGGGCUGACGCCUGCCCAGUGCCAGAAGGUUAAAGAAGUUGGUUAGCUUUUGCGAAGCUGAUGACUGAAGCCCUGGUGAACGGCGGCCGUAACGAUAACGGUCCUAAGGUAGCGAAAUUCCUUGUCGGGUAAGUUCCGACCCGCACGAAAGGCGUAAUGAUUUGGAUACUGUCUCGGAGAGGGACUCGGUGAAAUAGACUUGUCUGUGAAGAUGCGGACUACCUGCACCAGGACAGAAAGACCCUAUGAAGCUUUACUGUAACUUGAAAUUGAAAUUGGACUUUAUUUGCGCAGUAUAGGUGGAAGGCGUUGAAAGUAAUCUUGCGGGAUUAGUGGAGCCAUCAGUGAGAUACCACUCCUAUAAUGUUAGAUUUCUAACUUUGGAUCAUGAUCUGGUCAAAGAACAGUUUCAGGCGGGCAGUUUGACUGGGGCGGUCGCCUCCCAAAUGGUAACGGAGGCGUACAAAGGUUUCCUCUGAACGGGUAGAAAUCGUAUCUAGAGUGUAAAGGCAUAAGGAAGCUUGACUGUGAGACCUACAAGUCGAGCAGGGACGAAAGUCGGUCUUAGUGAUCUGACGGUGCUGAGUGGAAAGGCCGUCACUCAACGGAUAAAAGUUACUCUAAGGAUAACAGGCUGAUCUCCCCCAAGAGUUCACAUCGACGGGGAGGUUUGGCACCUUGAUGUCGGCUCAUCGCAUCCUGGGGCGGUAGUACGUCCCAAGGGUUGGGCUGUUCGCCCAUGAAAGCGGUACGCGAGCUGGGUUCAGAACGUCGUGAGACAGUUCGGUCCAUAUCCGGUGUAGGCGUUAGAAUAUUGAGAGGAGCCUUCUUUAGUACGAGAGGACCGAGAAGGACAUACCUCUGGUGUACCAGUUAUCGUGCCAACGGUAAACGCUGGGUAGCUAUGUAUGGAGAGGAUAACCGCUGAAAGCAUCUAAGUGGGAAGCCCACCUCAAGAUGAG
rnacentral:rRNA from 1 species